GCUGGUUUGGCUCAGUGGAUAGAGCAUCAGCCUGCAAGGCUGAAGGGUCCUGGGUUUGAUUCCAGUCAAAGGCA
rnacentral:tRNA from 1 species